GUUGAUAGGCCGGGUGUGUAAGCGCAGCGAUGCGUUGAGCUAACCGGUACUAAUGAACCGUGAGGCUUAACCUUACAACGCCGAAGC
rnacentral:rRNA from 1 species